GCUCUCUCCAGCAGAACAUAUAUUAAAAUUGGAAUGAUACAGAGAAGAUUAGCAUGGCCCCGUGCUAGUAUGACAUGCAAAUUUGUGAAGUGUUUCAUAUUUUU
ensembl:snRNA U6 U6 spliceosomal RNA